UUCAGAAUCUUGCGCAAUGGGGGAAACCCUGACGCAGCGACGCCGCGUGGACGAUGAAGGCCUUCGGGUUGUAAAGUCCGAUAAGCGGGGAAGAAUAAGCAACGGGUAAUAUUCGUUGCGAUGACGGUACCUGCCUAAAGCCCCGGCUAACUACGUGCCAGCAGCCGCGGUAAUACGUAUGGGGCUAGCGUUGUUCGGAAUUAUUGGGCGUAAAGGGCGUCUAGGCGGGGGAUUAAGUUAGGUGUGAAAUCCAUAGGCUCAACCUGUGAACUGCACUUGAUACUGAUUCUCUUGAGUUCGGGAGAGGAGAGCGGAAUUCCCGGUGUAGCGGUGAAAUGCGUAGAUAUCGGGAAGAACACCAGUGGCGAAGGCGGCUCUCUGGCCUAGAACUGACGCUAAGGCGCGAAAGCGUGGGGAGCGAACG
rnacentral:rRNA from 1 species